CUGCGGUGAUGACUUCUUAGGACACCUUUGGAUUAAUGAUGAAAAGAAUUGAAAAAAUUCUGAGCAGC